AAAAAAGCAAAAGGUUGCCCGGAGAGAUCAGCUCAAUCUCCUGCCUACGUACCUCAUCUGGUAUGAGGAUCAGGGCGACGUAGUUCCCCUACGCAGGGAAAAAGGACUAGCCUAACCAGAUAACAAAGGGAGAUACAACUAGGGAGACUACGACUCGAGCCUAGAUGUUAUCAUGCAAAUCAUCCCUAAGUCAAGGUUUCUAGCUAACUUACACAGGGAGCAAGCUAUCCUAUUCAGCACAGGCACAAGCAAACAAUCACAAAUAGCAC
rnacentral:lncRNA from 1 species